UCCAGCAGUAGUCAGCUGUCUGGUUCAGUACCCUGCCUGUGACAGUGUUACACUUCUGGGAAAUAAAAGUACGGUCUGAUUUAUCUGUCUGCCAUUGUCUCCAUUCUGGAAGCAGCUGGCGACAGUGUGGGCUGUACUGUGCUUCUCUGAGAGUGUGUUAAGCAGUUAACAUUCUGUUUAGCACUAGUCUGGAAGCAUACACA